GAUUAUUAUUAUAUUAUUCUUAUUGUUAUUUCUAAUUUAGCAAUAUGACUUCAACAAAUGAUAAUAUGGAUGGAGAGAAUUUUAAGUAGACCAACGAAUAC